AUUUACGCUCUUUAUUGUGUGGAGAUUGUUGUUAUUUUGUCUAUUUGAACCAAUGAUUCUAUGCACCUUUGUGUUUUGCAGGUUGUGGUGCUUAAAGCACCGGAAGGGCCAUGCAAAACGACGGUCAACCAGUUCGCUACCUGCGUGAAGUUUGAUAGAGAAUCAUCUGAACAAUGAAGACGACUCAGUUCAUGCAAAAGCACAUGUAAUAUUUUACAUUAUGAUGAAUCCUUGAAAUGUUUUUUUGGAUUGUUUGAACACAUUUGAAUUUGUAGAAAAUUCGAGAAGAAACAAUUAUUUUUAGAUGAAAUCUAUGAAUUUUUAUAUAGGUAAAAGAAAUAAACAUAAAUAGAUAGAAUGAUGGAAAAUCGAUAGCAUGCAAAUCAGCUAGUAGCACACCUCUGACUAUAGUCCAAGUUCAACGUUUUCCUUCUCAAGAGGUCUCGCUUGUUAUUAUGUUGAAAAUACGUGAACGUUAAAAUGUACAUAUAUGAGUGUUUUAUAUGUACUAUGAUUUAAUUCAAAACAUAAUAAGUAAACAACUGAAUAGCUUGUCCGUUUUAGUUCAAAAAAACAAACCGACAAACACUUGAUAAGGUAUUUAAACCACAAAACUAGUAUCUUCAAACUUUUGGAAGUUUUGUGAAAAAAAUCUUAUAGUAAAUUAGGACACUAGAAAACCAACUAAUUUUUGGAGCUCAUGGAAAAUAUCUCUAGAAGUUAUAAAAGUAGAUUUAGUAGUUCUAGAAAAAUGAAAAAGGAUAUAGAAAACUAGAGAAAGAAAAUCACGGAACAUACAUACUAAAACAAUUUAGGGUCUAUUUGUUUCGAAUUAUAAUCUGCACAGAUUAUAUAAUCCAACUUAUUUUGAACUAGGUGUUAGUUCAAAAUAAGUUGGUGUUAGAGUACCCGCCUAGGGUUUUAGGGUUAGCCCCUUGUAAUCACUGUCACACUCUUAUAUAAUGUGUCAGGCCUAAUAUAUAUAUAUAUAUAUAUAUAUAUAUAUAUAUAUAUAUAUAUAUAUAUAUAUAUAUAUAUAUAUAUAUAUAUGGCGAUGGUAAUGGAAGCCCUGGGCUUCCAUUAGUACCAGGAAGCUCCAUUAGUACCAGGAAGCUCCAGCCAGUUCGCUACCUGCGUGAAGUUUGAUAGAGAAUCAUCUGAACAAUGAAGACGACUCAGUUCAUGCAAAAGCACAUGUAAUAUUUUACAUUAUGAUGAAUCCUUGAAAUGUUUUUUUGGAUUGUUUGAACACAUUUGAAUUUGUAGAAAAUUCGAGAAGAAACAAUUAUUUUUAGAUGAAAUCUAUGAAUUUUUAUAUAGGUAAAAGAAAUAAACAUAAAUAGAUAGAAUGAUG
rnacentral:lncRNA from 1 species